rnacentral:misc_RNA from 1 species
AUUCUCGCAAUGCAGGCCAGGUACUGUUGAUUUAAAAACUUGCUCUAGUGAAUAUCAAUUGCUUCCUUCUAUUCAGUUAUCAUAAUUGGCUCCCUUGCACUCCUUAAUCAUGCAAAAAAAUGUUACCUUACAUGGUCUUUUGCAGAUAAAAUAGCAAUUCAACAUUUAUAUGGAUAAUACUUUAUCUGUCAAGAACAAUGUUACUUUCCAGAAGUUGGCCCAGCAAUUAACUAAGGAAUUGUAUUUGACCAUAGAACUUAUAACCAUUAGUAUUUAGUGAACUCAAGAAUCAGUUAUUUUUAUUACUAUUAUUUUUCCUUUCUUUUUCCCGGUUUCACCAAGAGGCUUUCAGUUUCCAGAAGUCACUUAGGAAAGGACAGAGGAAGUUCUUGCAUGAAAUUAUGGUUCAGUUGAUCAGAUUUUUAACGUACAAGUGCUCCACAUUUCACAAAUGGCUUAACAAUAGAAGAGAUGCCAGUUUUGCCUCUUUUUCUCCCUUUUGAAUGGUUUUCUUUUAGGAAAUGAAGCAUUAAGUAGCUUGAUCUAUUAAAUGAUGUUUCUUUCUCAUGAUCAAUUGCCUAUGGAGAAUUUAUUGGCUGAAUAAAUCUUAAAUGUUGCCACACUUCAUACCAAGGAUUGAAACAGCUUGUGCAUUUUUUGUAUGGUAAUGCUGUUCUCACUUUUAUAGUUGUCAUAUCCUGUCAACUGUAUCAAUGCUGCCUCUUAUGUGUAUUUAUGGACUUGCUUUUGCAGAAUCGGUUGCUUGCA